CAAGUCGAGCGGAAAGGCCCCUUUGGGGGUACUCGAGCGGCGAACGGGUGAGUAACACGUGAGUAACCGGCCCCAGUCUUUGGGAUAACCCUCGGAAACGGGGGCUAAUACCGGAUGUGCACGCGCUCUCGCAUGGGGGUGUGUGGAAAGUUUUUUCGGUCUGGGAUGGGCUCGCGGCCUAUCAGCUUGUUGGUGGGGUGAUGGCCUACCAAGGCGACGACGGGUAGCCGGCCUGAGAGGGCGACCGGUCACACUGGGACUGAGACACGGCCCAGACUCCUACGGGAGGCAGCAGUGGGGAAUAUUGCACAAUGGGCGGAAGCCUGAUGCAGCGACGCCGCGUGAGGGAUGACGGCCUUCGGGUUGUAAACCUCUUUCAGCACCGACGAAGCCUUUGUGGUGACGGUAGGUGCAGAAGAAGCGCCGGCCAACUACGUGCCAGCAGCCGCGGUAAGACGUAGGGCGCGAGCGUUGUCUGGAUUUAUUGGGCGUAAAGAGCUCGUAGGCGGCUUGUCGCGUCGACUGUGAAAACCCGCGGCUCAACUGUGGGCGUGCAGUCGAUACGGGCAGGCUGGAGUUCGGUAGGGGAGACUGGAAUUCCUGGUGUAGCGGUGAAAUGCGCAGAUAUCAGGAGGAACACCGGUGGCGAAGGCGGGUCUCUGGGCCGAUACUGACGCUGAGGAGCGAAAGCGUGGGGAGCGAACAGGAUUAGAUACCCUGGUAGUCCACGCUGUAAACGUUGGGCGCUAGGUGUGGGGGGCCUCUCCGGUUCUCUGUGCCGCAGCUAACGCAUUAAG
rnacentral:rRNA from 1 species